rnacentral:lncRNA from 1 species
GAAAACGUGCAUAUUUAAAGUAGGAUAAAUAUUGUAUAAGGGCAGGACUAUGGGCGCGGACUACAAAUCAACGGGCAGAGUGCCUAGGUCCCCACGAACAUAAUCUCAAGUGAGUCAGAAAAGACAACAUGAGAAAAAUAAAAACUAAUUUUAUUCAGCAGCGACAUCACAACUCAGUGAGCACUGCACACGACGCCAUCUACAAACAACCGGUUCAUGACACGGCUGGCCGCCUUAUCAUAGCCCUCCAGGAGGUCCAUCAGUCCCCUCAUCUGACAAGGACGAGGGGGGCGAUGAUGUCCCGAAGAGUGCGGCCCCACCGAAGCUCCCUCGACGAGUAGUGCCACAGCAGCCCCUCGAUGUACGUCAAAGUCAACAAUAUCCCGAACGCAGCACAUGACACUGUCUAGGCACUCCAUCAAGGACGAAUCACAGGCCUUGACGUACUCUGCAACCUAACCCACCUGAUGGCGCAACUUCUCUAGCUCAGCUUCCAGAGCAAAAGGAAAGGAAGACAUGAAAGGGGUCAAAACGCAAGGGGGAUAGAAAGGUUAUAAUGUAGGAACCUAUCAGCCAUGCGACAAUCGGAUUCAGCGAGCUGAGCUCGAAUCACUCUAGCCUCAGUCUCACUGGCCUCUUGCACCGAGCGAAAAGGUGUCAUGACUCUCCUGGGAUUCCCAAGGGAGGGGAAGAGGAGCCAGCGGGCCUGGCCACAACGACUCCAUGGAGGGUGAUGCCUCUCGGACGAUGGAAGCAAGGGCACCCUACAACAAGGAAGGCAUGCGCCCGAAUCACCGAGAGAGAGAUAGUAAAGGGUGAUACUCGGACGAGGAAGAGUCUCACCCUAAUCCAACGUAGCACGACUCCCUCCCGACUCGUGAUCCGCCAAUCAACUCGCCAUCAAAACCCAUUCGAGGUGCGAAAUGGAAAGCAAGCAAUUAUGGGAUGUUUACAAGUGGGCGCUCACCCUCACUUAUAACGAGAAACAUAACGACCGCCUCAGAGGAAUCCUAAAUUAGGACAUACCGUCUCCUGAG